rnacentral:rRNA from 1 species
CCUGGCUCAGAUGAAYGCUGGCGGCAGGCCUAACACAUGCAAGUCGAGCGGUAACAGAYCUAGCYUGCUAGAUGCUGACGAGCGGCGGACGGGUGAGUAAUGCAUAGGAAUCUGCCCUGUAGUGGGGGAUAACCUGGGGAAACCCAGGCUAAUACCGCAUACGUCCUACGGGAGAAAGGGGGCUUUGGCUCCCGCUACGGGAUGAGCCUAUGUCGGAUUAGCUAGUUGGUGAGGUAACGGCUCACCAAGGCGACGAUCCGUAGCUGGUCUGAGAGGAUGAUCAGCCACAUCGGGACUGAGACACGGCCCGAACUCCUACGGGAGGCAGCAGUGGGGAAUAUUGGACAAUGGGGGGAACCCUGAUCCAGCCAUGCCGCGUGUGUGAAGAAGGCCUUCGGGUUGUAAAGCACUUUCAGCGAGGAAGAACGCCUAGUGGUUAAUACCCAUUAGGAAAGACAUCACUCGCAGAAGAAGCACCGGCUAACUCCGUGCCAGCAGCCGCGGUAAUA